CCUACGGGUGACAGCAGUGAGGAAUAUUGGUCAAUGGUCGGGAGACUGAACCAGCCAAGCCGCGUGAGGGAUGAAGGUACAGAGUAUCGUAAACCUCUUUUGUCAGGGAACAAAGGCGGGGACGCGUCCCCGGAUGAGUGUAUCUGAAGAAAAAGCAUCGGUAAAAUCUGUGGAAGCAGCCGCGGUAAUACGGAGGAGGCGAGCGUUAUCCGGAUUUAUGGGGGUAAAGGGGUGCGCAGGCGGUCUGUUAAGUCAGCGGUAAAAGCCCGGGACUAAACCCCGGCCCGCCGUUGAAACUGGCAGUCUCGAGUGUGAGAGAGGUAUGCGGAAUGCGCGGUGUAGCGGUAAAAUGCGUAG
rnacentral:rRNA from 1 species